GAUGAACGCUGGCGGCGUGCCUAAUACAUGCAAGUCGAGCGAACGGACGAGAAGCUUGCUUCUCUGAUGUUAGCGGCGGACGGGUGAGUAACACGUGGAUAACCUACCUAUAAGACUGGGAUAACUUCGGGAAACCGGAGCUAAUACCGGAUAAUAUUUUGAACCGCAUGGUUCAAAGGUGAAAGACGGUCUUGCUGUCACUUAUAGAUGGAUCCGCGCUGCAUUAGCUAGUUGGUAAGGUAACGGCUUACCAAGGCAACGAUGCAUAGCCGACCUGAGAGGGUGAUCGGCCACACUGGAACUGAGACACGGUCCAGACUCCUACGGGAGGCAGCAGUAGGGAAUCCUCCGCAAUGGGCGGAAGCCUGACGGAGCAACGCCGCGUGAGUGAUGAAGGUCUUCGGAUCGUAAAACUCUGUUAUUAGGGAAGAACAUAUGUGUAAGUAACUGUGCACAUCUUGACGGUACCUAAUCAGAAAGCCACGGCUAACUACGUG
rnacentral:rRNA from 1 species